rnacentral:rRNA from 1 species
AUUGAACGCUGGCGGCAGGCCUAACACAUGCAAGUCGAACGAUUGGCGGCCGGGUGAGUAAUGUCUGGGAACCUGCCUGAUGGAGGGGGAUAACUACUGGAAACGGUAGCUAAUACCUCAUACCAUCAGAUGUUCCCAGAUGGGAUUAGCUAGUUGGUGGGUUAACGGCUCACCAAGGCGACGAUCCCUCGCUGGUCUGAGAGGAGGACCAGCAACACUGGAAAUGAGACACGGUCCAGACUCAGACGGGAGGCAGCAGUGGGGAAUAUGGCACAAUGGGCGCAAGCCUGAUGCAGCCAUGCCGAGUGUAUGAAGAAGGCCUUCGGGUUGUAAAGUACUUUCAGCGGGGAGGCGUUACCCGCAGAAGAAGCACCGGCUAACUCCGUGCCAGCAGCCGCGGUAAUUC